rnacentral:rRNA from 1 species
CACUCCUACGGGAGGCAGCAGUGGGGAAUAUUGCACAAUGGGCGCAAGCCUGAUGCAGCCAUGCCGCGUGUAUGAAGAAGGCCUUCGGGUUGUAAAGUACUUUCAGCAGUGAGGAAGGUGGGUAUGUUAAUAGCAUAUUCAUUUGACGUUAGCUGCAGAAGAAGCACCGGCUAACUCCGUGCCAGCAGCCGCGGUAAUACGGAGGGUGCGAGCGUUAAUCGGAAUUACUGGGCGUAAAGCGCAUGCAGGUGGUUUGUUAAGUCAGAUGUGAAAGCCCGGGGCUCAACCUCGGAAUUGCAUUUGAAACUGGCAAACUAGAGUACUGUAGAGGGGGUAGAAUUUCAGGUGUAGCGGUGAAAUGCGUAGAGAUCUGAAGGAAUACCGGUGGCGAAGGCGGCCCCCUGGACAGAUACUGACACUCAGAUGCGAAAGCGUGGGGAGCAAACAGGAUUAGAUACCCUGGUAG